UUCUGUAGCUUUGGCGUCA
rnacentral:snRNA from 1 species